rnacentral:lncRNA from 1 species
GAUUUUUCAGAUUAAUAAAAAUAGGAUUGGCAGUUAUCGCAACAUUUGUUCUUUGUUGGCUGCCAUUUUUAUCCAGUGUAGAAUCAGCAAUACAAGUAUUACACAGAUUAUUUCCCUUUGCAAGAGGUUUAUAUGAAGUAGGUUGUGUUUCUAAUACAAAUAUAUUGAUGUAUCAAUUUACUAUAAAAGCUUCCAAAAAUGACAAGAAAACAUUGUUAUUCUUUGUUUCCAAAAUUAUAACUAAAGAUAAGGAUUUAAAAUAGGGAUAAAAUGGAACUUUUGCAUUUUAAUAUUUUUCAGUUUGAAGGAAAGAUAUUGCAUUAAUUAUUUUAAAGGAGAUAAUUAACUUUGACUAUAAAUAUAAUUUCAGGAUAAAGUUGCCAAUUUCUGGUGUACAUUGUCACUGGUUAUAAAGCUUAAAAAUAUAUUGACAACAGAACAUAUAAUCCUUUUAUGGUAGGUUAUAAUUUUAUUUUCUAUAUUACUUAUAAAGACAUUCCAAAUUGACAGAAAUAAAAGUUACUGUUUGAAGGGAUUUAUAUACAAAGACAAAAUACACAUGUAUUCUUUAAUAAGCAUUGUUAUUUUGAAAUUCAAAGAUGAGCAGUGAACAAUCAACAAUGUAAAACAAUGCCAAAAAGUUUCUUCUCAAUUAUUCAUUAAAACAGACAGACUAACACAUUGGUAUGAACUUCAGAUGGAAGAUUGAAGAAAAAACACACAAAAGCACAGGUUUUUACAUCAGAUGGUUAAAUUAUGAUAAAAAUUUUCAAUAAAUCCCACCUAAUCUGAGGUCCUAACUUCUGUCCAAAAUUUCUCAAUCUCCUGAUUUAAAUUUUACAGUCCAUCACAUGUAUGUUGAAUUUAAGUUCUUUCAAACUCUCUGUAUGCACUAGUUUUAUGUGUGUCAUCCUUUAAUUUUGGAGAUCAACUAAUUAUUUAUUUUAUAAUUUUAAAUACCUAAUUCAUUUCUUUUAGUUUAGUUUCAACAUUAGUGAUGUUACUACCAUCAUCUUUGGAUCUGCUAAUAAGACCUAGUAUUCAA